GGCGGCGUGCCUAAUACAUGCAAGUCGAACGAACGGAGGAAGCAAGCUUGCUCUUCCAAAGUUAGUGGCGGACGGGUGAGUAACACGUGGGCAACCUGCCUGUAAGUUGGGGAUAACUCCGGGAAACCGGGGCUAAUACCGAAUGAUAAAGUGUGGCGCAUGCCACGCUUUUGAAAGAUGGUUUCGCUAUCGCUUACAGAUGGGCCCGCGGUGCAUUAGCUAGUUGGUAGGGUAAUGGCCUACCAAGGCAACGAUGCAUAGCCGACCUGAGAGGGUGAUCGGCCACACUGGGACUGAGACACGGCCCAGACUCCUACGGGAGGCAGCAGUAGGGAAUCUUCCGCAAUGGACGAAAGUCUGACGGAGCAACGCCGCGUGUAUGAAGAAGGUUUUCGGAUCGUAAAGUACUGUUGUUAGAGAAGAACAAGGAUAAGAGUAACUGCUNGUCCCUUGACGGUAUCUAACCAGAAAGCCACGGCUAACUACGUGCCAGCAGCCGCGGUAAUACGUA
rnacentral:rRNA from 1 species